GAUGAACGCUGGCGGCGUGCCUAAUACAUGCAAGUCGAGCGAACGGACGAGAAGCUUGCUUCUCUGAUGUUAGCGGCGGAAGGGUGAGUAACACGUGGAUAACCUACCUAUAAGACUGGGAUAACUUCGGGAAACCGGAGCUAAUACCGGAUAAUAUUUUGAACCGCAUGGUUCAACAGUGAAAGACGGUCUUGCUGUCACUUAUAGAUGGAUCCGCGCUGCAUUAGCUAGUUGGUAAGGUAACGGCUUACCAAGGCAACGAUGCAUAGCCGACCUGAGAGGGUGAUCGGCCACACUGGAACUGAGACACGGUCCAGACUCCUACGGGAGGCAGCAGUAGGGAAUCUUCCGCAAUGGGCGAAAGCCUGACGGAGCAACGCCGCGUGAGUGAUGAAGGUCUUCGGAUCGUAAAACUCUGUUAUUAGGGAGGAACAUAUGUGUAAGUAACUGUGCACAUCUUGACGGUACCUAAUCAGAAAGCCACGGCUAACUACGUG
rnacentral:rRNA from 1 species